UACGUAGGGGGCAAGCGUUGUCCGGAAUCAUUGGGCGUAAAGAGCGUGUAGGCGGUCCGGUAAGUCGGCUGUGAAAGUCCAGGGCUCAACCCUGGGAUGCCGGUCGAUACUGCCGGACUAGAGUUCGGAAGAGGCGAGUGGAAUUCCCGGUGUAGCGGUGAAAUGCGCAGAUAUCGGGAGGAACACCUAUGGCGAAGGCAGCUCGCUGGGACGUUACUGACGCUGGAGACGCGAAAGCGUGGGAGCAAACAGG
rnacentral:rRNA from 1 species